rnacentral:rRNA from 1 species
UUCCUACGGGGGGCAGCAGCCGCGGUAAUACGUAGGGAGCGAGCGUUAUCCGGAUUUAUUGGGUGUAAAGGGUGCGUAGACGGGUAUACAAGUUGGUUGUGAAAUCCCUCGGCUUAACUGAGGAACUGCAACCAAAACUGUAUAUCUUGAGUACAGGAGAGGUAAGUGGAAUUCCUAGUGUAGCGGUGAAAUGCGUAGAUAUUAGGAGGAACACCAGUGGCGAAGGCGACUUACUGGACUGAAACUGACGUUGAGGCACGAAAGUGUGGGGAGCAAACAGGAUUAGAUACCCCAGUAGUCCGUUC